GCAUUGAUGGUCCAACGGUUAAGAUGCCUCUCUUCCAAAGAGGCGACCUGGGUUCGACUCCCAGUCAAUGCA
rfam:Aspergillus wentii DTO 134E9 unplaced genomic scaffold ASPWEscaffold_5, whole genome shotgun sequence.